CUGAUGGGACCCAUCUCAUAACAAACAAUUCAAAGUGAUGGUAAUUAAUAAGGGGCAAAUUAGUAAUUUAAUAGGAGAAGAAGCUGGAUUGAACGGUCGAUUAGAACUUUUAAUCUCGACCGUCCAUAUGCAUCACAAUCUACUUGAUCCUAGUCGUCCAUUGUACUCAAGCGAUGAAUCUAUAUAAGCUUUUCUCUUCCUUCCUCUUCGGCAUUUUGAAUUUUGUUAGGGUUUUGUAUUGUUAGGACUUAGGAGUAGAUCGCUUUUGCAGUUUUAUGAUUACUCUUCAAUAUUUUUGUCUCUGAUUUCUUCUAAUUUGCAAGUAAUUUUCUUAAGAACCAGAUUCUCUGUUCUUCGUCGUUGUUAUAACCACAACGAGAUUGUGGUUCUCGUCUCCUAUUUGAUUUCGAUCUUCCUAUUUCUAAUUGCAGUCAAUUUAUCAAAUCUCUGAUUGUGAUUUGGGUUCGUCGGUACAAAAAAUGGUGUGAUAAUUUCGUUUUCUAGGGUAUUUAUAGUUCUGCGAUUCCAUUCUUUUUCUUUCUUAUAUCGAUCUUUGUGGAUUUUUUUGGUUUGAUUGUGAUUGUGUUCGCCGUUAUGAGAAAUGGUGUGAAAAUUUGUAGUUUAUGUGGAUUCUCUUCUCUGCGAUUGUGAAUUUUUUCUUUACUUACCUGUUUAUUUUUCUUUCAUGACUUUGCUUUCAAUUCUGUGAUUUCUUAAGAUUAUGGACGAUCGUUGUUUACUCUUAAUAAUUCCUUGUUUUCUGAUAUUGCUUGUUCAUACACAGAUUGUUUGUUUUUUUUUUUAAUUCCUUCUUUGUGAUAUUGGUUUCAUACGCAUUGCUUUACUUUUUGAUGUUGAUGUGAUGUGAUAUUAUCUUCCCUCUGUUUAUUAUGGAUUGGGAAUUUUAGUCGAUGAUGGAGAUUUCCACUUUCCACACUUUGUUAUAUUGCAUUUGGUUGGUUAUACAUUUUCAUUUGUUAAUUUCGCAUUUAUUUGGAUCUGUUCUCUCAAGAGAGUCAUUUGAGAGGACUUUUCACUUUGAUUAUAUGAGCUUUUGAUUGUUUCACUAUAUCUAUGUUUAAGUUUUGAUUACUUUUGAUUGGUUUUGUUGUCUUUAUAUGAGCUUUUGAUUGUUUCACUAUAUCUAUGUUUAAGUUUUGAUUACUUUUGAUUGGGUUUGUUGUCUUUAUAUGAGCUUUUGAUUGUUUCACUAUAUUUAUGUUCAAGUUGUUUUAGUUCAUAGGCAAAUUUUUUGUUGUAAACAAUAUUUCAUCAUACUGUCUGAUUCGUUUAGUUGUUCCCUCCUUUCAAUAUUUUGAUCUUUGUGGAGUAUUUACGUUGCUCAACUAGUUUACUUUGUCUUGUUGAUGAUGUCUACUGAAACAAUACACAAAAUGACAAGUUAUUGUUCCUUUUUUUUUGUUUCAUUUUCCUGUUCUUGGUUCAGUUCUUACCAUAAAUUGUUUUGGUUUGGCUGUCUGUCUUUUAUGCAUUGUAGCCUGUUAUUUUCUCUUUUGGUUGAUUGUUUGGUUCUUGUCUGUUUCUUUGACAUGAUGAUGUCUACUGAAACAAUACACAAAAUGACAUGUUCUUGUUCCUUUUUACAUUUUCCUGUUCUUGGUUCAAUUCUUAUCAGAAAUAUUCUUGUCUGGAACCACAUAUUUUGGUGUGGAUAAAAAUUGUUAUCUGGUUUUGUUGUUGUUGUUGCUGUUCCCCUUUCUACUUAAAUUGAUUCGAUUUGUGCGUGAGUUUUCCUAUACAUCAUCAAUAUAUUGUUGAACAACUCAGUGUUUCUUUGUGUAUGUUAGUUAAAGAUGGUAAUUAAAUUUUUUCUUAUCACUGAUUGUUAUGACUCUAGAUUAAUUGAUGAGCACGUAGAAGUUUUGAUCAACUAUUUGAGUAUUGAUUACUGCUAGAAUGAAUCUUUACGCAUUAGAUGCUUUUGUUUUGUUUUCAGCCGAAGCAACAGAUAGAUAUGCCAGUUUCAGAUCAAAAGAAUUUGAGUCAGAUGAAUCAUGAUCCCAGGCUUGAAGCCAUUGUUGAUAGAAUGCUUGAAAAGUAUGGUAUGUCCAUGAAUUAAUGCUCAUUUCUUUAUAGUGCCUCAGUUGUUCUUACAUGAUUUUCUGUAUGCAGAUGCAUCAGUGAGGAGAAGUAUUAGCUGGCCAUGGGUAUUUCGAAAGAUGACGGAGAUUGUAUAAGUUGGAGGAAGCAAUCACAAAGAGUGCGAGCAAGAAUGAUGCAUUAUUGGAACUGCAAAGUGCAUUUGAUCUUGUAGAGAAGAGCACCGGGCCAUUCUAUCAAGUGUUAGAGAUCAUCUUCCAGUUCCCAAAACAUGUCCUGUAGAAGUAGUCAGGCCCUUGACACUACUACUGCUUCGAGCGAGAAUAUUUCGGAGGAUGUUCAGAUGACGAAUGGAAUUCCAGUGGACGUUACACAUGCUACGAGGUUAACACUUCAGAUUCUUUGCAGCCAUAACAAAUCGGACCUGCUGAUACUGAAGACAAUCAAACAGCCUGUCGAGUUGCUAUUCCAUUAUGCAUGCUGAAACAAUCGCCUACGUAAUACCAAUGUUGAGCUCUCGGGACAAUGGAUAAAGAGAUAUAUAAUGGAAGAACUGUUGUUUUGGCCCGCUCACUGAUCCAGAGCAGGUACUUGCUUUAGCGAAGCGAUAUCCUUGUUGGUCCUCGUCAAGGUGCUUUGAUUGCAAUAGCCAUGGUGAUGAUCCAAAUCAGUGAAGCAACCAAUUCUCGUGUUAGAGCAUUUAGGUGCAAAAUUGAGAAGAUCAUACUCGACAAGGUUGAAGAUACAGUGAGCAAGAUAGGAGUGAUUCUGGCAUCUGGUAUCCUCGAUGUCGGUGGUAUGAACGUUACUCUUAGACAGCUCUCAAAGACCAAACAUAACAAAAUCACUGCUGAUCACAGCCUUGCAGUCUUCAGCCAGUAGGUACUUCUUGUGUAGGCACUUGCUUUGAUUGCAAUAGCCAUGGUGAUGAUCUAAAUUAGUGAAGCAAGCGAUUCUCGUGUUGGAGCAUUUAGGUGCAAACUUAAGAAGAUCCUACUCGACAAGCUUGAUGAUACAAUGAGCAAGAUGGGAGUGAUUCUCCUCGAUAUCGGUAGUAGGGAUGAAGACUGCUCUCAAAGAAAAAAUAUGAAAAAAUAUAGCUGAUCAGCCUUGCAGUCUUCAGCCAGUUUUGGUAGUCGUAUCCACUUAUCUAUAUCAUUAGCUUUGCCUUCUCACCAACAGCUUUCAGGUCUUAGUGUAAACCGCUAUCAAAAUUCCUACCGAUGUUCUCUCAGCCUCAGUUAAAAGCCAAAGCUAAGGCUAAGAAAGAAGCAAGGAAGAAAGCUAACCGUUUACUAAAGUUUGGAGAGUGAUCGGAAGAAAUCAAGUUCUGUUCAAUGCUGGAUCGGUUAUGUCGUUUCAUUUGAUAAUCUUAUUGACGAUUCACCUUUUGGUCUAAGAAAGAGGCUUUUGUGCGAUAAAUGAAGGCUGAUACUGUUCUUGACUAUGCAGUGUUUGAGCUUUCGCCAAAACAUUCUCGAUGUGAACUGUUUGUAUCGAGUAAUGAAGAAAGAGAGAAACUGGCUUGGCUUCAGGAUUGAUAGAACCAUUCGUGAAUCAUUUGAGAGUUCUUGAAUCACAAGCUUCAAAGAGAGACCAAUCCUCUGUUAGACUGGAAGUAGAAAAAAACCGAAAAUGGCUAAUCUUGGCUCACAAGAAGAACACUCGAGAGAUUUGUUCGAUAUGUUAAUAGUCCAGAAGUGUAGACAAAAGUCAAUACAAUUCAUUUGGAAAUCUCACAGUUGGAAGCAGCUCGGACAUUAUAUUCUCAAGACAAUGGAGGCGUAGCAGAUGCAACAAAGUAAGUAUACGUCUCUACUUUUACAUCAUAUCAGAUUGCUUCUCUUUGUCUAUGUACAGGAAGAAGUUCUUAAGAGCUAUAGAUUUAUGACUUGAGGCAAUUAAAAAGGACUUAACCACAGCGAUUGCUCAAGCGCCAGCUAAUAUUUUUGACCCUCAAACUGUUUCUGAUCCCCAACAUUUGGAUGAAGCAUGCUACAAAUAUAUUUCACUACCGCAAAGAAGGCCAGACCUGAUCACCAAGAACAUGAAUACCAAUGCACAAACAUUAGUCAACAUCGAAGUACCAACUCUGAUGAUUCUCAAAACCAGGCUGAUAGGCCCGGGAACAUCAUGACUGAUGGCAAUUCCAUGCAGUGAGAAGAGGAGAGCUAUGGUUUCAAAUCCUACAAUGUGGCGCAAUCAUCAUGUUUCCUUAUCGCCGUUCACGAUCUCAAUCAGCUCAUAUAGCAGGUGGUAUUGAUAUCAAAAGUGAUGAACGUCAAUCAAAAGGCAGGAAGAAAGAGCUGUUUCCAGCAGACAAGAAAUAAGCCUUAUUCUCAAAACCAGUUUCUGCAGGGUUUGAACAGAGACAAAACUCAUUUGGUGUAGAGGAUGAUCUUGAGGUAAGUCUUGUGAAUGCAGAUUUAGCUGGGAAAAAUGACAAUAAUAGAGUUCAUUCGACAUCCGUUGAUCAAACACAGAGGACAAGAAUGUCUGAUUCCUCAUCGGACCUGAUUAAGCCGUAAAUUGGGAAGGAAGCUUUAUUUUGUGUGAAGAUGGGGAACAAUCUUCCGCAGUCUUCUGGUACCUAACUUUCAGGUCGUAGUUUAAACUGCUAUCAAACUUCCUACAGACGUUCUCUCAACCUCAGCUAAAGCCAAAGCUAAGGCUAAGAAAGAAGCAAAGGAGAAAGCUAAUCCUGAGAAAUCAUGUUUCUUUGAAGUCAUUUUCAUCGUAGGACCAUUAUAAUUUGAAAGUCUUGGCUGCAGGAACUGUCAGGUCGAUAGCAUGGAGUUGAAAGCGUAGCCAGAGCCAUCGACCCAUCGUUUGAGAUUCUAGUAAACCCAGCUUGACAGGUUUGAAGCUCUAUCCUUUUCAUACUUUCCUUAUUGUAAUACUUAAAGAUGUUUAAACUUUCGUUUCUUUUGGUGAUUGUUGAUAUGCUCCCUGAUAUCUUGUCUACUUUUCUUCAAUUUUUCAUUUUCUUUGUUUAUUGUUCUUAUGAUAUAUAGAAUAUGUUUGAUAGAUCAUUUCACACAUUACUAGUUUUGAAUGUUCAUUUGUAUAUAGUCUGUUUAUUUCAUUGGGUUAUUGUUUUUUUUCCUCUACUGUAUUUUGUGUCCAUUUCUUUUUCACAGUUUCUACUAAAAAUACACACAAAGUUAUUAGCCUUUUAUUACGUUUACUUGUUUUCUGUGUGUUAUAGUGAUGCUCUAAUGUUUUCUUUGAUUCUAUGACGAAAUGGCUAACAAUCGUGUCUGAUCUGAGUUUUUUUUUAUAUCUUCUUGAUUCUGCUUCCUCGAUUCUUGAAAUUAAAGAAAGAAAACAUAUGUUGUCGGUAAAAUGACACCAUUUUUUGAAUAUAUGUUGUCAUAGAAUCAGUUUUUGCAACUUAUUCUAAAACAUUCUCUGUAUGUUCAGGCGUUUUUUUGGUUAUUUGCUAUUAUUUGUUCAAGCUGCAAGUAAUCUUCUGGAAGGUUUGUUGUUUAGAAUAUAUCUGGAUUGUCGUUCUUUGUAGAUUUUACUUUGAUUUCUCUCUUAAUUGUGGGUAAUUUUUUCUUAGAGUUUGGUUGUUAUGAACAGAUUAUGAUUGUUGUAGCUGUUCUUCGAUUUUAUCUCUUACUUCUUCU